rnacentral:tRNA from 1 species
GGAGAGGUGUCCGAGCGGUUUAAGGAGCUGGUCUUGAAAACCAGUGAUACCUUGACGGGUACCGUGGGUUCGAAUCCCACCCUCUCCGCCA